rnacentral:tRNA from 1 species
GCUUCGUUAACUCAGUGGUCAGAGUGCCGGCCUGUCUAGUCGGAAGCCGCGGGUUCGAAUCCCGCACGAGGCGCCA